rnacentral:lncRNA from 10 species
GAAACUCUUUAUGGCUAUUCCUCUAGACUCGAGGCUAAAGCAUGCUCAAGUAUCUCCUACCUUAAAAACAAAUAAACAAAAACCUGUUUGACUUUGAGCUUUUUCUUUUUCCCUUUUUUGUUUUCUUUGAGUCUUGGUCUUGCUCUGUUGCCCAGGCUGGAGUGCAGUGGUGAGUGGUGUGAUCUUAGCUCACUGCAUCCUUCAACUCCUGGGCCCAAGCCAUCCUCCCACCUCAUCCUCCUGAGUAGCUAGGACUACAGGUACGUGCCACCAUGCUAGGCUAUUUUUUAAAAAUCUUUUUGUGGAGACAGGGCCUUGCUAUGUUGCCCAGGCUGGUCUUGAAUUCCUGGCCUCAAAUAAUCCUCCCAACUCAGCCUCCCAAAAUGCUGGGAAUAUAGGCAUAAGCUGCUGUGCCUGGCCAACCUUCUCUCAUUUUCUUCAGACUCACACAUCUAGCAAAAAUGUUUGUAUACUCUCACCUCGUGUUCUCUCUUCAAACCACAGUCAUUAUUUAAGGUCCUCAGCAUUUGGCUGAAGGUACUGUAUGACCAAAUCAAAUUGAUAUCUUCUCGUUUUUAAUAUACUUAUCUUCCUUCCUGAAUUUUAAUUUCAUAAGAUUCAGCCUAAAUGAUCUACAUCUCUAUUUGCCAAAUGCCAUGUGGAAAGUAAUAAAAGAAGUAUAAAUAAAAGAGAAAACUUUCUUUAACGUUUUUGUUUUCCUGUAGCUAUAUUUUCCAUUCCUCCCACUUUUCACUUCUGCCAUAGGGCAAAUCACUCAGUAACUUCUCAUUUCCCCAUUCUUCUUUGUCAUUUCCAAGUCUGAACAAGCCUACGGGGUACAUUCACUCUCUUUCCUGCUGAUGCUAUGGUCUGAUGAAAGGACAGAAAAACAAAGUCAGGACACCUAGUCCCAGGUGUGCUAACAACAGCAGAAAAACAGAUGUGACUGAAACCAGUGGUGAUGAUGGCGGUGGAGAUGGAGCACAGCCCUGAAGAGUAUCUAGAAGUUUGUCUCCUCCAGAGAAAUGCGCAUUCAUUCAAAAAAUAUGCCAGGCACUCUCAGGCAUUGGGAAUAAAGCCAUGGGUUCAGCUAUGGUAUUAGUCCAUUCUCACACUGCUAAUAAAUACCCGAGACUGGGUAGCCUAUUAAGGAAAGAGGUUUAAUUGACUCACAGUUCAGCAUGGCUGGCGAGGCCUCAGGAAACUUACAAUCAUGGCAGAAAGGGAAGCAAACACAUCCUUCUUCAUGUUGUGGCAGCAAGGAGGAGUGCAGAGAGAAGGUGGGUAUGGGUAAAUCCUCUUAUAAAACCAUCAGAUCUCAUGAAACUCACUCACUAUCAUGAAAACAACAUGGAGGUAACCAACCCCAUGAUUCAAUUACCUUAUACUGGGCCCCUCCCAUGGCAUGUGGGGAUUAUGGGAGCUACAAUUCAAGAUGAGAUUUGGGUGGGGAUACAGAGCCUAAUCAUAUCA